GCCAUCAGGUUAAGCGUGGGGACUCUAAAGGAACUGCCUACGCAAGUAGUGAGGAAGGCGGGGAUGACGUCAAAUCAGCACGGCCCUUACGUCCAGGGCUACACACGUGCUACAAUGGCCGAUACAGAGGGCAGCUACCUGGUGACAGGAUGCAAAUCUCCAAAGUCGGUCUCAGUUCGGAUCGGAGUCUGCAACCCGACUCCGUGAAGUUGGAUUCGCUAGUAAUCGCGCAUCAGCCAUGGCGCGGUGAAUACGUUCCCGGCCUU
rnacentral:rRNA from 1 species